CUUGUGCAACAUAGGCGGCGGUUGUGCCGCGGGAUUACCCCGCGGGUUCGGCUAGUGAAUACCACGACAG
rnacentral:ncRNA from 1 species